ensembl:processed_transcript
GGGACCCUGCUCAGUCACUCCAGGUGCCGUCGACAAAUGCCAUGUGUCAACUUGAGUCAAAGGGUAGUCUCCCGAGGCUCUGUCUCCUCUGCUCCAUUUGCAGGGAUUUGCAAGGGCACGAACCAGCUGGGCACCUUCUUGGCUAUGGAACAGCUGCUACAGCAAGCAAGGACCAAGCGCACAGUGGACGUCUUCAGUGUGGCCCUGAAGCAGUCACAGGCCUGUGGCCUUAUGACCCCAACGCUGGAGCAGUAUAUCUACCUCUACAACUGCCUGAACAGUGCAUUGCAGAAUGGGCUGCCCUGUGCUGGGAAGUGACCUGUGCCCUGCUAGGCAUCACGUUCCAGCGAAUCCACUCAGGCCUGGCUUCCCCGGGAGAACAGAUCCACUGGCCUCAUGCUGUCAAAGGGCGGAGUCCGGGAAUAAAGAGAUGUGGUCAAAC